CACGUAGGGCGCGAGCGUUGUCCGGAAUUAUUGGCGUAAAGGGCUCGUAGGCGGUUUGUCGCGUCGGGAGUGAAAACCAGGUGCUUAACACCUGGCCUGCUUUCGAUACGGGCAGACUAGAGUUCGGCAGGGAGACUGGAAUUCCUGGUGUAGCGGUGAAAUGCGCAGAUAUCAGGAGGAACACCGGUGGCGAAGGCGGGUCUCUGGGCCGAUACUGACGCUGAGGAGCGAAAGCGUGGGGAGCGAACAGG
rnacentral:rRNA from 1 species